AAGGACCUGUGGUAGAAAUUAAGGUUCCAAUUUUAAUAGUUGUCUUAUGAGGCUUACACAUCUUUUUUGUGUGAAUAAAACUGGUAGUUAAAAUUGGGAAAGGCCCGUGGCAGAAGUUUAAAGUGCCUGUUUUAAUGCAGUUCGUUUGUGGGGCUUACGAGUAAAACUGGUAGUUGAAAGACAACUAAAUUAGCAAAUCUUCUUUAGGAAUGGUGCCGUGGACCUCUCUGGGGCUCUUUCUGGCAUAUCAUAGACAGUUUUGGGGCAAAGACGGAUGAAGGAUGAGGAUUUAUGGAAGAACCUGGAUUAACCAUGGGUAAGAAACAUUUUGGUGUAUAUAUGUCCCAUUGGAAAGAGUGAUACCUGUUACCCAAA